rnacentral:rRNA from 1 species
GACGAACGCUGGCGGCGUGCCUAAUACAUGCAAGUAGAACGCUGAAGGAGGAGCUUGCUUCUCCGGAUGAGUUGCGAACGGGUGAGUAACGCGUAGGUAACCUGCCUGGUAGCGGGGGAUAACUAUUGGAAACGAUAGCUAAUACCGCAUAAGAGUAGAUGUUGCAUGACAUUUGCUUAAAAGGUGCAAUUGCAUCACUACCAGAUGGACCUGCGUUGUAUUAGCUAGUUGGUGGGGUAACGGCUCACCAAGGCGACGAUACAUAGCCGACCUGAGAGGGUGAUCGGCCACACUGGGACUGAGACACGGCCCAGACUCCUACGGGAGGCAGCAGUAGGGAAUCUUCGGCAAUGGACGGAAGUCUGACCGAGCAACGCCGCGUGAGUGAAGAAGGGUUUCGGAUCGUAAAGCUCUGUUGUAAGAGAAGAACGAGUGUGAGAGUGGAAAGUUCACACUGUGACGGUAUCUUACCAGAAAGGGACGGCUAACUACGUG